GACGAACGCUGGCGGCGUGCUUAACACAUGCAAGUCGAACGCUGAAGCUCAGCUUUUGUUGGGUGGAUGAGUGGCGAAAGGGUGAGUAACACGUGAGUAACCUGCCUCCUUCUUUGGGAUAACGCCCGGAAACGGGUGCUAAUACUGGAUAUUCACUGGUCUUCGCAUGGGGGUUGGUGGAAAGGGUUUUUCUGGUGGGGGAUGGGCUCGCGGCCUAUCAGCUUGUUGGUGGGGUGAUGGCCUACCAAGGCUUUGACGGGUAGCCGGCCUGAGAGGGUGACCGGUCACAUUGGGACUGAGAUACGGCCCAGACUCCUACGGGAGGCAGCAGUGGGGAAUAUGGCACAAUGGGCGCAAGCCUGAUGCAGCGACGCCGCGGGAGGGAUGGAGGCCUUCGGGUUGUGAACCUCUUUCGCUCAUGGUCAAGCCGCAACAAUGGUUGUGGUGAGGGUAGUGGGUAAAGAAGCGCCGGCUAACUACGUG
rnacentral:rRNA from 1 species